AGCUAAUGCCGGAUAAUAUUUUGAACCGCAUGGUCCAAAGGUGAAAGACGGUCUUGCUGUCACUUAUAGAUGGAUCCGCGCUGCAUUAGCUAGUUGGUAAGGUAACGGCUUACCAAGGCAACGAUGCAUAGCCGACCUGAGAGGGUGAUCGGCCACACUGGAACUGAGACACGGUCCAG
rnacentral:rRNA from 1 species